UCCUAUGGAUAAGCAAAAAUCGUGGUUUCUUGAGAUGGAAUCUACUCUGGGUGAAAAUGCUAUGAA
rnacentral:pre_miRNA from 1 species